GCUCCGCUAUGUCACGCUCAUCUGAAAAUCAACCUCAAUAUCAAUCAUUCGUUAAGAGCCCUUAAGGAAGAACCCUCGGCUGUGAAUGCCAAAUGACUAUUGGCUACCUGGAGUAUAUGUUUGAGAAAGGCAAGAGCAAGAAGGAAGGCAAGAACAAUGCUCCAAAGACACUGUUUCAGGUGCAUAGCUCCAGGCAAAGGUAAUAUCCGUAUUUGAAAAGAAAACAAGCAGUAAAAAUGAAAAGAAAAGGGACACAUUUUGAAUCGAACUAUUUAUUUCCGAUUACCGAAUUAAUGAAAAUCAAAUCAUUUUAGGUAUAACAGUGAUAUGGUCAUAAGGAUCUAAUCUAGUUAUUAAAAUUUUGUGAUUUGUUUUCUUCCAAUAGAAGAAAUUUGAAUAUUGACUUUAUCGGCAUGAAAAAUAGUUACAUCAUUAGAUUUCCAAGAGUAACAAAAGUAGAUCAGAAUUAGAAUGUGUCCGUUACUUAACGGUUUUAUUGGCUGGUCAGACGUGAAGGCGUGCAAGUGGAAGCAACAAAAUCUACAAAUUCAGCGUACGCAACCAGUUUGCCUGACGAGAGAACAUGGUUCGGUCGGUUGGUGUCUUAAUGCAUGUUUGGAUUUAUGUUUAGUGUAAUUAAAUAGUUUUGUGGUCAGAAAACAGUUUGUCCUCCUUCCAAACCCCCAACUUUUAUUUUCAAAAGCUGAAACUGCAUUGAAACUGUUACGUUUAGCAAUUAACCCUUUCUAAAAAAAAGUGAUGGGACCUUUUCUAGCCGUUUUGCAGCUUCACAAUUCGGUAUCAAAUAUGAAUAUUAUAUGAACGGUAAAAUGAAUUCUAAAAAUUAAACAUUAGAAUUUUUACUAUUUCACACUUCAUAAUUAAAACAAAAACUCAAUUUGGAUAUUUAUUUUUUUUUGUUCAGAAUCAAAGCCCAUUGUUCACUGUAAAUUCAAAAGGCAUAUGUUGUAUUUAAUUACAUUACUACUUCAGCGUACUGUGAUAACUAAUAAGAUUGCUGAACCGCUCCUCUAGGCUCUCUAGGCUUUAACUUUAAUCAAGCGCCUCUAGUGAGAGCGGUGAACAACUCCGUUUUACACUUGUUAACAACAUUCACUUAAACCUCGUAUCAAAACACUUCCAAAACCAAUGAUUGACUACGAUGACAACCGCAUUAACGUUGCCAUUUUUUAAAAAGGGAUACAGCAAUCCAAGUAUGACAAUACGGGUAGGCCGGGUAGGCACGGUAGAUAUGUUGGUUGUAGCAAUCCGUGUGCAAGGUUCUAGCAAUCCGUGACAUAUAUACCAAUUGCCAUUGGUAAUUAUAGCUACCGCUAUAUAUGUCAUGGAUUGCUAGAACCUUGCACACGGAUUGCUACAACCAACAUAUCUACCGGGCCUACCGGCUAUAGCUGUCAUCAACUCCCGUUGAAUAAGAGUCAGGGCAGAUACGCAGUCAUUUCUUAAAUGGCUUUUAAGCAUUUGAUUAUCUUUUUCUUAAUAUAAAUUAUGAGAAAAGGUACGAAGAGAUAAUAUACUGUAAUGCGCAUCCAAUGAAAAAAAAACGGAGAAAGGUUUCAAAUUCCUUAUUUGAAAACCCCGGUAUUGUUUAUUCAAAGUUGUCACGCUGGACGAAAGAAUGUAUCCCAUUGUAUUUUAAAAAUCCAUACGGCAAUCAGAGCCGCAAUGUUUUUACUUUU
rnacentral:lncRNA from 1 species